UGGGGAAUAUUGCACAAUGGAGGGAACUCUGAUGCAGCGACGCCGCGUGAACGAAGAAGGCUUUCGAUUCGUAAAGUUCUUUUAUAUGGGAAGAUAAUGACGGUACCAUAAGAAAAAGCCCCGGCUAACUACGUGCCAGCAGCCGCGGUAAUACGUAGGGGGCUAGCGUUGUCCGGAAUCACUGGGCGUAAAGGGUUCGCAGGCGGAAAUGCAAGUCAGGUGUAAAAGGCAGUAGCUUAACUACUGUAAGCAUUUGAAACUGCAUAUCUUGAGAAGAGUAGGGGUAAGUGGAAUUUUUAGUGUAGCGGUGAAAUGCGUAGAUAUUAAAAAGAAUACCGGUGGCGAAGGCGACUUACUGGGCUCAUUCUGACGCUGAGGAACGAAAGCGUGGGUAGCAAACAGG
rnacentral:rRNA from 1 species